CGUUACCUGUGUCAUCAAUUGGUCAGUAGAAUGACUCACUUUGACGAUGAAUUGACUGAUUUGUUUGAGGAAUGCGACACUCUAUACUAAACCUAUUUUUAACUAUUUAGUUUAUUGUGUUAGCAGGCUAGAAAAUAACAAUUCUUCUGGUGGCAGUUUCAACAAUUCUGGUGCAGCAUCAAUGUUUUCACUCUUUAAUGGUCGUUAGUUACAACUUACUCAUCUAAAUUUUAAUAUGCUUCCUCUUAAAAUUGAUAGUACCUGUGAUGGAUUGCAAUUUAACUGUUUGAUAGUCCUUGUGAAACAGCUAUAGAUGGUGUUUGAAGUAGAGAAAAUUCAUGCACUGAACCCAGAAAAUCUUGUUGCUUUAAAUUUAGAAGUCUAGUUUCUUUUAAUCAAACACUUUCAAUUUUUUUAAAGUACUUAGCUCUAAGCUAAUUUUUCCACAGUGCAAUUUAUCUAAAUCGAGGAUAACUGUCACGUUGAUCUAAGGUUUUGCUAAGUUUAGUAAUUUUGCUGUUGGUUUUAUUGACCAUAUAAAGUACGUUAGUAUGUGCUUCCUUAUAAAGUUGAUAUUUUGUGUAGAUUGGCUGAAGGCAAUUGUUAGGAAUAGAGCGAUUACAUUGAUUUUACAUUUUUCUGAAAAUCAUGCUAUUUCUCAAACAUAUUUCAAAAUUAAAAAACUUUCCACUUAUAUUAGAAAACAGCGCUUCUUUUACAUAAAAAGUAUGGCGAUUUUGUAUCCGGUUUAAUUAUUAAAGCAUUUGAAAGCAACGUACUGUAAAAAAAAUUCAAGAAUUUUUUCAUGCCUGCAUGUGUGUAUCAACCGUCCAUAGCAUUUAGAAUCACCCUAGAUAUAUGCAAAGUGAAACUAAAAUUCGGGUUUGGAAAAUUUAUUUUGUUUAUUUUUUGUUUAGUAUGUAAAGUUGAAUUGAAAACUGUGCAAAUAUGUUAGUUUCAAAAUUUGUAAUUUGCAGGAUAAAUGAGUUUAUCUUUGUCUUCUGAAUAAAUAGCGUAAUAAUGGG